AUACGGAGGGUGCAAACGUUGUUCGGAAUGACUGGGCGUAAAGCGCGUGUAGGCGGUCCGUUAAGUCGGUAGUGAAAGCCCAUGGCUCAACCAUGGAAGUGCUGCCGAUACUGGCGGGCUGGAGUCCCGGAGAGGGUGGCGGAAUUCCCAGUGUAGAGGUGAAAUUCGUAGAUAUUGGGAGGAACACCGGUGGCGAAGGCGGCCACCUGGACGGGUACUGACGCUGAGACGCGAAAGCGUGGGGAGCAAACAGGAUUAGAAACCCCAGUAGUCC
rnacentral:rRNA from 1 species